rnacentral:rRNA from 1 species
UACGGGGGGGGCAAGCGUUGUUCGGAAUUACGGGGCGUAAAGCGCAUGUAGGCGGCCUAGCAGGUCGGAUGUGAAAUCCCUCGGCUCAACCAAGGAAGUGCAUUCGAAACCGCAAGGCUCGAGUCCCGGAGAGGAUGGUGGAAUUCUCGGUGUAGAGGUGAAAUUCGUAGAUAUCGAGAGGAACACCGGCGGCGAAGGCGGCCAUCUGGACGAGGACUGACGCUGAGAUGCGAAAGCGUGGGGAGCGAACAGG